rnacentral:tRNA from 1 species
GGAUUGUGGCUCAGUGGCAGAGCACCUGCCUAGCAUGUAUGAGGCACUGGGUUUGAUUCUCAACACCA